CUACAGUAACCUGACUCCAAAGAUGGCUGCCAUGGAUUCCUUCCCUCCCUGUACUCCCCCAUUGAGGAGUGGAGUCUCUACAAUCUGGGCUGGACUGGGUUUGACCAAUAGAAUACUGCAGAAGUAUAUGGCAUGAGAGAGUAUAGCCAGCUCCAGGCUUGGCAUUCAAGAGGAAUGGAGUUUCUGCUUCCUGUCUUUGGGAGCCGUGAGCUACCUGCUAAGAAGGUUAGACCACUCCACUUAAGAGAGAGGCCACGUGCACAAGCACUGAAGGACUAGAUGUGUGAGCAAGGAGGCCAUCUUGGGGAACAGCCAGCCCAGCCGAGCCUACAGAAGACUCCAGCCCCAGUCAUUUGAUGGCAGCCACAGAAGGAAGCCAAGCAAUGCCCAGCUGAGCUCAGAUAAAAAGCGACUCAAGGGAGGACAUGUCUGUGUUUUUCUGCCUGACAUUGUUGUGUCUACACUGAUUUCUGGAACGAUGAAAGCUAUAUUCUGACCAUAAAGGGACAGCUCUCAGGACAGCCAGUAAGCUGAGGAUGACAGAGCGAAAAAGAGACAGCUUGUGUCCUGAAGUCAAUUCCAA
rnacentral:lncRNA from 10 species